GAUGAAGAACGUAGCGAAAUGCGAUAAGUAGUGUGAAUUGCAGAAUUCAGUGAAUCAUCGAAUCUUUGAACGCACAUUGCGCCCUUUGGUAUUCCUUAGGGCAUGGCUGUUCGAGCGUCAUUUAAACCUUCAAGCUAAGCUUGGUGUUGGGUGACUGUCCGCUUCACGGCGGACUCGCCUCAAAAUUAUUGGCGGCCGGUACAUUGGCUUCGAGCGCAGCAGAAACGCGAACUCGGGCCCGUCGUAUUGGCUCCCAGAAGCUAUCUUCACAAUUUUGACCUCGGAUCAGGUAGGGAUACCCGCUGAACUUAAGCAUAUCAAUAAGCGGAGGA
rnacentral:misc_RNA from 1 species